rnacentral:SRP_RNA from 10 species
GCUGGCCAUGGUGGCACAUGCUUGUAGUCUCAGCUAUUCAGGAGGCUGAGGCAGGCAGGUCCCUUGAGCCCAGGAGUUCUGGGCUGAAAUGUGAUAUGCCAAUUGGGGGUCCACACUAAAUACAGCAUUAAUAUGGUGACCUCCUGGGAGCAGGGGACCACCAACUUGCUUAAGGAGGGGUGAACCGGCCCGGGUUGGAAACGGAGCAGGUCAAAACUCUGGUUCUGUCAGUAGUAAGAUUGCCCCUGUGAAGGGCCACUGCACUCCACCCUGGGCAACAUAGCAAGAACCCAUCU